AUGGGCCCCUGUCCUGUGGCUCGUGCUUGGGUGGCUGGGGGCACCCUGGGCCCAGGCCCACCCCUCAGGCCGGUCUGCUGGGCCUCCCCGGGCUGCGGCCGGGUAGGGGGUUCAUCUAGCCCCCCUGUGGGUUCCCGAUCCAGCCUCCCCACCCGUUCUCCGCCACAAACACUACUGUCGGCGGCGCCCCAUCCACCGUCUCGGCCGCCCCCCGAUCCCCCGCCGCCGCCGCCAUCGACCCCUCCUGGCCCCUCUCGUGCGGUGCCAGCCAUGCCCAGGGAGUGGGGCGAUGAGGCGCCCCGGGCCAAGCAUCGCAUGGACGACCGCCGUGACCCAUCGCGGCCCUCUCCUGAUGACGUCCGCCUUGAGGAGGCCAGCUGCCUCCUCUCCUCUCACGACGCCCGCCGGUCUCCUCCGCCCCCUUGA
rnacentral:rRNA from 1 species